rnacentral:tRNA from 1 species
CAAAAUAUAGCUUAAACAAAGCAUUUCGCUUACACCGAGAAUAUAUCUGUUAAACUCAGAUUAUUUUGA